AACGAACGCUGGCGGCGCGUCUUAAGCAUGCAAGUCGAACGGCAAGAUUGGUGCUUGCACCGAUCCUAGAGCGGCGGACUGGUGAGUAACGCGUGGGUGACGUACCCUAAGGAUGGGGAUAGCUGGUAGAAAUAUCAGAUAAUACCGAAUAUCCUUAUUGUUGUUAGAGGACAGUAAGGAAAGGAGCUUUGGCUUCGCCUAAGGAUCGGCCCGCGUACUAUUAGCUAGUUGGUGAGGUAACGGCUCACCAAGGCGACGAUAGUUAUCCGGCCUAAGAGGGUGAACGGACACAUUGGGACUGAGAUACGGCCCAGACUCCUACGGGAGGCAGCAGCUAAGAAUAUUCCGCAAUGGAGGAAACUCUGACGGAGCGACGCCGCGUGGAUGAUGAAGGCCGGAAGGUUGUAAAAUCCUUUUAAGCAAGAAGAAUAAACUUUACAGGGAAUGGUAGAGUGGUGACGGUAUUGCUUGAAUAAGCAACGGCUAAUUACGUGCCAGCCGCCGCCGUAAUAC
rnacentral:rRNA from 1 species